GGGAAACUCACCAGGUCCAGACAUAGUAAGGAUUGACAGAUUGACAGCUCUUUCUUGAUUCUAUGGGUGGUGGUGCAUGGCCGUUUUUAGUUGGUGGAGUGAUUUGUCUGGUUAAUUCCGUUAACGAACGAGACCUUCACCUGCUAAAUAGCUACGCAAAACUCACGUUUUGUGGACAGCUUCUUAGAGGGACUUUGUGUGUCUAACACAAGGAAGUUGGAGGCAACAA
rnacentral:rRNA from 1 species